CAGCUGCUCCACCCUUCCUGUUCAGUUCGCCUGUGGGAGCUCCCUCUUGUUCCGGCCGUAUCACUGUGUUUGAAUCACUCCGAUCAUAGUUGGACACUGUCCCAGAGCUCCGCUCUGAAGGCUGUUCGGCUUCCCGGCCACAGAGAGACCACAGCACAAAUCAAGGCUCUGACUUUGAACGUGGGAUCUGUCUGUAGGAUUUUAAGGACGAGAGGGUCUUAUGUAGCCGCUUCGCCACACCUCCAGACAAGCGAUGCGGGAAUCACACCCGCUGCCUCAUCAGUUUUCCUGCCCAACAGUGCAGCAGCCGCACAGCCGCCAUCGCCGGGCUCCAGAGUUAACGGUGCCACCGCACAAGCGGGCACGGUGCGGUCCAGCCCGGCCGGAGCUCUCCGCACCCGCAGCCUCCCGAGGCGAUCCCCACCCCCGGAGCGCAGCUUGGGGUGGGCGGCACCUGACGGGAUCCCCGCGGGGCUCGGAGAUCCCAUCCCGCCCUCAGCCCCAGAGCAGCGGGCCAGGACUGCACCGCGGUUCCGUUCCCGCUCGGGCGUUGCCAGCGGCUCCGCCUCCGUGGCCGCCUCAGGUGCUGGCGGGGGGGCGGCUCCCCCCACGCGAGCACCCGCGUUAGGACCCGAGCACGGCUCAGUGCAGCGUUGCCGCUCCGCUCCUGUCCGCUGGCAGAGAGUGGACGCACUGUCAAGUCACAGAUUGAGAGUACAGUGGCUUCUAGGUUUUACUAGCAUCGUUUCUUACUGCAUCUCAGGUGUAGCAAAGCAGCAAAUGCAGUGUUGGUAAGCACGCUGGUUGUCAUUAUUCCAUAAUGUUGGUGUAUCAAGGAGCUUUUCCUGCAAUCUGAUGCAGGUCAAAAAGGGCAGAUGACAGAGCUGCGUGGCAGCACCGCAUGUUUUGGAGCCUUGCCUUCAAUCAGAGUAUUCCAAUCAUGGGAUUCAUCCCACCAUGUUUCAGUGACAGCAUUUAGGUCAUACUUUCCCAAUUGCACCAUGGUUUCUAAUUCCUCUUGUUUAUUUCCCAUGCUCUGCGCAUUGGUAUAGAGGCACUGCAGCUUAGCUAUUGGCCUUGUUGCCUUCUCAAAGGAGCCCUCCUUAAUACCCCCAGGACAAGUCUGAGGUUUUCCCCUACCACCUCCCUAGGUGACAGUGUUCCCACGCUCUGUCACCCAGUACACCCACUUCCCCCAUCAUAUCUAGUUUAAAGCCCUGCUAACCAGCCCAGCCAGCUUGCUCCCUAGAAUAUUUGUGGCCCUUCUAGUCAGUCAUCUCCCAUUUGCUGUCAGCAGUCCCCCUUUCUCAAGGCUGCAUCCCAAGCCAUAGCACCCAAAGCCCUGAGUGUGACACCAUUCGCAAAGCCAUUCAUUCAGCAUGUCCGCCCUCCUCCUUUUGUCCGGAUCCCAGUCACCAACUGAGAGGACAGAGGAGAAUACUACUUGUGCUCAUGAUCCCUUCAGCAGUUUCCCAGAGCCUUAAAGUCCCUUUUUGAUGACCUUUCAGAACACUCCGGCAUGCAGUAGGAUACACAGGGUUGUUCUGAGAGGCCUCUAGGGCACACCGGGAUGACUCUAGGGCACCCUAGAACACAGUGAGGAGCUCUGGGAGGAUUUAGGUUUGCCCUAGGUUGUACUGAGGAUCUCUUGAAGUCCUCCAGGACACCCUGGGAAGUCUCCAGGGGACGCGUGUCCUCUCCAGCACAUCGGUGCCUGGGAGCAGUUCUGCAGGUGGAGCCUCUCCAUGGAGUAGAGAAAUGUCCCAUGCCGUUCUUUCAGGCCGUGCUUUGGUCCACAAAACUGUCUGGGGUUUGAAGUUCCUCAGUGCUCAGUGAGCUCUGAUGAAAGUGUGUUUUGAUUGCUGUGGCCUUGCUGCUGUCUGGUCUUUGACACGGACUGUCAGGCUUAUAUGUUUGGGAGUGUUAGCUAGUUAAAACCUUGGAAGUGUAGAGGCACCUGUAAUCCCACUUAUAUCACAGCAUUGAGGGCAUCAGAGCACAAAAACAAGUAACUCAUUCAUUAACGGCAAAUGCUCUACUGCAGAUGUGAGGACAAAAGGCAGCAGAACAAACUUUACCUGCAC
rnacentral:lncRNA from 1 species